AAAAAGUGAUUGAUAUGUUAACCAGAAAAAAGAGAAUAAGCUAGAUAAUCCCAUAAUAAUUAGAAUCAUCUAACCGUUGAAUCUAACAAGCCAUUAUCAGUAAUUAGAUCUCAACCAAUGAAUUUCAUUAAUGCAUCCCAGCUCGCCCACAUCCCGUGGAUAUGGAGAUCUUAAAAAAGAUCACGUCCGCUCUAUUCCCGUCCAUAUAGGCAGAUCUAAAAAAUACAUGCCCGCUCACGUACGUACAUAGGGAGAUCUAUAAGAAAGAUUUACAGCCCAACUAAAAAAAGACAGGAAGUUGUCUUCCAGAAAUAUCUCCUUCAAGAUUCCCUUGGCUCUCCAGCUCCACCAACGCACCAAAACUCGAGAGAAUCCUAGCGCCGUUCUCCACUGCCGCUCCAUGAUGUCUUGGAUUUUAAAGUUCCGUCCACAUAGCGACGGCAUGGAUGCAGACAUACACGAUGAACUGCCCAACCACCAUCAGGAACUGAAUGUGGAUCUCUCCCAUCACGAGCAUGGAUGGCUACUCGACGUACAUGUCGGACGGAUCAGAAAAAAAAGAACUGGGGUGCCCUAUCACGUCCACCAUCAUCGUUGGAAUUGAUGUCGCCUAGCCCUUCCGAGGUGACUAUUUGACUGGCACAUCAAAGUCCUCAUUUUUCCAAGAAUUUGUUAUGUUAUUUAAUUAAUACUAUCUCUGUCUCAUAAUAUACCUAGAAGUUGAUAUGCAAUGCCAAGAUAUAGCAUCCGUCCUUUGCAUGUACCCCUUUGUUUCUUUUUUAAACUGCUCUAUUCUCUAAUUGAUAUCACAUAUGUGCAUUGCCAAAAUAUGCCCAACUAAUAAGUUUAGGCUCAAUUUUCACUUGAGCGUAAAAAAUUACAUCGACAAUGAAGAAACAUGUUUCUUUUCUAUCACAAUGGUACAUGAAAGCAGAAUAUACAUAUUCAUCAGACAAAAAAUUCUCAGUACAUGCAAUUUAGUGCCCAAAAAGUUUAAUUUGACUAAUGUAUGUAUUUAUUAGUCGGACUAACAAAUAGUCCAUAUAGUUUUAUGCCCGAGAAGUCUAUUUCGACUGAUGUGAGUAGUUAUUAGUCAUACUUUCAAAUAGUUAUUUUAUGGUCAAUAUUCAUGCUCACAUAUCCCGUACAUUAUAUAUUAGGUAUUCACCAACUCCAAGCUUACAAGAAUAACCUUCCAACAAAAUUUACAAAAAUGUUAAACGGGAAUUCAUUGCCGCCGCUGACCUGCACAAGCCGAUUGCACGUCCUGAGUCUACCCAUAUGCCGCACCUGCACCGCGAUGCCAAAGUCACAGAGUUGUUGUAACUACAACCAAUGUUUAUUAGAAGUACAUGCAAAGCUAACCCAAUAAAAAAGACAUACCAGAAAAUCCAACAAAGAAUCAAAACAUCCAACAAUUAAAGCACGUACCAUAAAUAUUAAUAGAUCUACACCAAUGUAUCUCCUUAAUUUAUAACCAUCCAAGACACCAGUAAUCUAAAUCCACUCAAAUCAAUCUUGAUUACUUAAGAUUUUCCUCUGCAUCGCUUACUUGGUUUUAGUUUUUUGUGCAACCUACAGUUACCUAUAUCUUACAAGUUAUACGACUGUUGUGUCCAUUUAUACAGUAAUUGAGAACCAAAUGAGUUCUAGAACAUUGGCGUUCAAACUGUACUUAACUUUUUGUGCCGAGAUGAAAAUGUUCAUGCUUACUACUUUAUUGUUGUCUGCUUCCUAGGUCCUAAACCUAAUUUUUUGCUAUUUGGUAUUCCUCUAUUAUAUAAAAAAGCCAGAAAAUUUUGCUCCAAAUAACCUGAAUUUAUUUUCUUGCUUGAUUUUGCAUUAGACUGAGUUAAGCGAAAGGGAUAGCAUCGUGAUGAGGAAGAAAAUGGACAAUGCUCAAGAUAAUUACUCCCAAAACUAAGCAUUGUUUAGAGCUGCACUUCUUAAAAGAAUUGUAGUUACUCUCAGCCACCUAGCGAUGCACAGUUCUUUGUGCAGUUGUCAAGUUCUUAACAGUGAGAUGUUACACCUAAUAUUUUAUCCCGGUGAAUAAGCCAUGCCAAAAAUGGAUACAUGGAUUACAAGUGUUGUGAAAGUCACGAGAGAAGAAUUUUAAGGUUAUCAAGAGGCAAGCCACUUACCUUUACUUCCACUUACCAAUAUUGUGCUUGUAGACCAUUGUACGUAAUAUUGAGGAUUGUCCAAUCAACUCGAGCCAGAGACGUAACAACCUACAGUAUUAACUCCGUCCAGCGACAACAACACCUCCAGCAGGUAUCAUCUUAUGCGCGACAUCAAGCCAUUUGCAUGAUUCACUGUAUGCCAGACUGAUGAAUAGAUAAACAAUACUUGAUCAAUAAAUCUUUCUAAAAUAGAAAAAGUCAAUCUGUACAUUGCAGAUUAAUUAACAUUACCACAGAACUAUCCCCAUGCUUAGUACAUACAUACAUGUAGGUUCUUUGCUAUAUUACUUACUUUAGAAACUAAAGUUUCUAUUUCAUUUUAUAUCAGAUUGAUGAACUGGCCAUUGACCAUUGAUCAAUGAUACUUUAAUUAUAUUCAACAAAGUGCUCAUUUAGAUAGACUGGACAAAGAUAGCCUAAACAAUCACUAUAUGUGCAUGCCGAAAUAAUAAAAGUAUAAUAUGACUGUUUCCUUGACAUACUUACAUUUCCCUUGAGCUAAUACUUACAUUUUCACGGUUUCCUUGGAAAACAAAAAAACUAAACAUUAAUAUAAUUUGUUUACCUAUUAUAUUAGUUACAUUAAUGAUUAACAUGACAAUUUCCUUUUUAGGGCCUCCAAUAGUAUGGUAUGUACACUGUUGAAUCCAUUGGCUAUAAGCAUUGGGACAAGAAAAAAUAAGCUCAAAGUUUAAGGCUCUGGGACACAAUCAACUUAUCUACCAAUGAACUUAUUAGCACUAAUAUGAUUUUAACACAUAAAUAUAUAGUUUGCUUUUUUUAAUUCCUUUUCAUCAUUCAAAGUUUGCUAAUAUUCCCUUUGUAUCUUGGGCAAUACGACCCGUGCUUCUAUUGGGAACAAACUGUUCAACAAGUUAGCCAAAAAUAAAGGGGACUCUACCUACAUAUUUAACACCUUUGAAGUUUUGGGAGUGUGAAUUGUUUUGACCAUUGAAGAACAAUCUAAAAAACAGUUUCCUUUUUUAUAUAACAGUGAAGAAAGUUGAGGAAAGAGUUUCAGAUUUUUUUCGGGCUAAACUUGAAAGUUGUUGAUGGAGAUACCUUAGAGAGUAGGGUAAAUAUUGGUAAAAGAGUGUUCAGGUAUGUAUAUUCAUGAAACGAAGUGGCUGAAAAUGUGAAAAUGUACAUCUACGGUGAGCAUACUCUCCAUCAUAUUAGGUACACACUAAAACUCAAGAGAAGCGAUGAGAUGGUAACAUAACAUUUAUCAUGUUUAUUGAGGUAGCACAAAGACGUUUAGGCAGCAUCUGUGCAUCUACUACUAUGAUCAUUUGGUGGAAAUAGUUCAUUACUACCAAACAUCGACAUAUAUAUUAUUUAGUGCAAACCAAUAGUGGGAGCAUCGGGAGAUUGCUAUAUAUCAUAUGUAUAAUGUGAUUAGACCUGUUUUCAUAUUCAGUUAUUUAUCUUAUUUUUUCUUUGGGAAAAAUUAAAACUACAGCUAAUCACAAAUGUACCAAUUAUUGAAGUUUGUUGAAUAUUAAGGCCUAACACUGCCAAUGCCGGUCAAAAUCCCGGAAAAAAGUGGAAGGGGCAUAAAAAAAUUAACACUAUGCCUUAAGAUGGAAGUAGUAAAACAUCUUAUAAAAGUUUAUAGAGGGAGUAUUUAGCAGUAAAACAAAACUCUCAUCAUUUAGUACCUUCAUCGCACGUCAAUCAAAUGUACUAAUUUGCAUUGGUAUGUCUGCUCAGACAUAUACUUACAUUUUUACAAUUUCACAAACUUAUCAGUAUCGACCUCAUUGAACACUUAAAGAGCACUUAAACAAAAGAAUUGUAUGUAUUCCAAAUUUUGGAAGAAAAAUGACCAAACAUUUACCACUAAUAGGCAUCUACUUAAUAACAAUAUAUUGGUUGAGUCGAACAAAAAAUGUUAAGAAAAGGGGGGACAUAUGAGUAAAGAACAGGAAAAUGGGGGACCUGCAGGUCGGACUUCGAACUUCGGAAAAUGUCGACACCUUGGAGGAUGACAACGACGUGCCGGGCUACCUGGAGCGAGAAUACCAAUGAUGUUUCUGGCUUGCACACUUGGGGAAGACAACGUCGCCAGCAUCCUAAUACUCAAGAUGGAUCCAACCGGGCUGCAUGAGACGACAUUCUGCCCAAAUCAACUGCACGGACGCCAAGAACACCGACACCGUGCAGAUCAAUGAUUCCUUGCUACACUUGAUCCUUGGACCCGACUACUCCUCAAUCGCCAUUCAACAGCGUACGAGACUGAGGAGACAUACGAGAAGCCAUACUAGCCGCCGCUGAUGGACACAAUAUGGAAGCACCGGUUGCGAAUCAAGAGAGCAAGUUGAUGGGAGCUAUCCAGCGGCAGCAAUUUUGGAGUGAGCAGAUAGAAUAAGGAAAGGAGAAAGGGGAUCGGGCGAGAGGGAGUGUGAGUGGGUAAGAUGAACUGAGAAGUCGAGAAGACUAUAGAAUGGGGAAAGUGAA
rnacentral:lncRNA from 1 species